rnacentral:rRNA from 1 species
GACGGAGGAUGCAAGCGUUAUCCGGAAUGAUUGGGCGUAAAGCGUCCGCAGGUGGCAGUUCAAGUCUGCUGUCAAAGACCGGGGCUUAACUUCGGAAAGGCAGUGGAAACUGAACAGCUAGAGUAUGGUAGGGGCAGAGGGAAUUCCUGGUGUAGCGGUGAAAUGCGUAGAUAUCAGGAGGAACACCGAUGGCGAAGGCAGAUCUCUGGGCCGUAACUGACGCUGAGGAGCGAAAGCAUGGGGAGCGAACAGG